rnacentral:snoRNA from 1 species
GCUGUCGGUGAUGUUGCUCUUAAUACCUUACCUACCUUGUUUGAGUAACUUUGAAAAGAAAUGACGUCUGAGACAUGC